AUUGAACGCUGGCGGCAGGCCUAACACAUGCAAGUCGAGCGAGCGGCGGACGGGUGAGUAAUGUCUGGGGACUGCCCGAUAGAGGGGGCUAACUCCUGUAAACGGUAGCUAAUAACGCAUACUAUCGGAUAACCCAUAUGGGGUUGGCUCGUAGGUGCGGUAAUGGCUCACCUAGGCGACGAUCCCUAGCUGGUCUGAGAGGAUGAUCAGCAACACUGGGACUGAGACACGGCCCAGACUCCUACGGAGGCAGCAGUGGGGAAUAUUGCACAAUGGGCGCAAGCCUGAUACAGCCAUGCCGCGUGUAUGAAGAAGGCCCUAGGGUUGUAAAGUACUUUCAGUCGGGAGGCGUUACCGACAGAAGAAGCACCGGCUAACUCCGUGCCAGCAGCCGCGGUAAUUC
rnacentral:rRNA from 1 species